rnacentral:rRNA from 1 species
AACGAACGCUGGCGGCAGGCUUAACACAUGCAAGUCGAGCGCCCCGCAAGGGGAGCGGCAGACGGGUGAGUAACGCGUGGGAAUCUACCGUGCCCUACGGAAUAACGCAUGGAAACGUGUGCUAAUACCGUAUACGCCUACGGGGGAAAGAUUUAUCGGGGUAUGAUGAGCCCGCGUUGGAUUAGCUAGUUGGUGGGGUAAAGGCCUACCAAGGCGACGAUCCAUAGCUGGUCUGAGAGGAUGAUCAGCCACAUUGGGACUGAGACACGGCCCAAACUCCUACGGGAGGCAGCAGUGGGGAAUAUUGGACAAUGGGCGCAAGCCUGAUCCAGCCAUGCCGCGUGAGUGAUGAAGGUCUUAGGAUUGUAAAGCUCUUUCACCGGUGAAGAUAACGACGGUAACCGGAGAAGAAGCCCCGGCUAACUUCGUGCCAGCCGCCGCCGUAA